ensembl:lncRNA
UUAUGUAAAACUUUUAUUAAACGACUGGAGAAAUUCGGUAACGUGUUAAUCAUUGGUUGAAUGACAUCUGCUUAAUACCAGAGAUUUUUGAACUGCAGGAGAAGGGUUCAGCAGUUCAGAAUGAUUACCAAAACAUAUUGCUCCUUUUUUCGUUCCCCUACGUGUUAAUUUUUCAGAUUUAUUAUCUUAGGCUCCCGCGUCUCGUAUUUUCACUACAUGUCAACAUCUGUUAUAUCUCUGCGUUUCGCAGCUCUUUAGUCCUUGCCCCACGAAGCCUCAGGCGCUGGGAUGGGAUGCAGCCAGCCCUAACCCAGGGCUUAUGCAAUUUUCCAAACCAAUCCCGAGGACAAUUAACAGGGAAGUUUGGCUGGAAGAGGCAAUUCUGGCAUCCAGAAGGGAUCGGUAGAUGGACUCAAACUCAAGGAAACCCACUGGGUUUAGAGACAAACCUGGCUGUCAGGAUGAGACAUGGGGACGGCGAAAUGGCUCUUUGAGAAAUGUGGUGGGUGGAAACGCGUCAUGGAAAGAUGCUCACACCUCUCCCACUCCUUUCCUUUGAUCCAGCAGACCUGGAGUCACUGUGACUUCAUGGCACACAGCAAAUCCCUCCAGGGACAUUCAUCUUCUGGUGAUGCAGGCCAAGGGAAAAGGGGGGCUCCGUGUGAGCCAUCCCAGCCAAGGGUCUGGUGCCGAUGUGUCUAAGGAGAUCUGGAGACUACAGCCUGAGUCUGACGGGGAAUGGCUGCCCUGUGCAGAUGGAAGACUGUCCCCACUGUCACUUCUGCUGUCAGUUCACCAAAGCCUCCAUCCAGUCCCUGCCCUCCUCCGGGCUACAUGGAAGAGCUGAUCUGGUUUUACACCUCUCCUGGUUUAACACCUCUCCAAGGCGAGGCUUUGCUUUCUGAUGACUAUGCAGGUUGUGCAUGUCCCAGCAGCACUCAGGUCCAAGGGUGCCAGAUGCCAGCCAAAUUCCUGCUGGCGCUGGGAUGGGCAGGGGCAUCCCUUCUUCAGAGCUGUGCAUCCUGGCAGUGACAUUCCUCCUUUUGGCUGUGCUGUUCCUACACACUUCCAGCAAUGGAGGGUCUUGAAUCCAUCUGCAAUGCUGCUCCAUGGGUUGUUGCAUCUUUUCCUGGGUAAAUGCCAGUGGCUCCACGAGGCAGCGCAUUACCUCAUAGCCCAAGGCAAUAGGAUAGGGACCAAUGCCCAGCAUUACUGGAUGGGUGCAAGAACAGGCAGCUGCCCAAAAACCAUCCAGAUUGUUCCUAGGGAGAAAUACAGAAUGUCUCACUGGGUUUGUAUUGGGCGUAGAAGGUGCACUGGCCCUUCACUGUGACUUUCAUCCUGCCUCUGUGAAAUAUAUGGACAUGCUAAAGCAGAGCAGCACCACGGGUGCUUGCUGCGGGAUGUGGUUCAGCAGUGAUAGGAAGCAAAGUGCAGCAAUGCCUCAUGGACAUCCAUCAUUGAAGCUCUUGUAGGGAGAGUUCAUCCUAUAAUGGUUUAAUUGCCGGGAGUUGGAUCAGAUGCCCUUUAAAGGUCCCUUCCAACUCAAACCAUUCUAUGAUUCCGUGGUUCUCAACUCCAAAAUGAGUUAAAAGGAGUCAUAAAACUGCUGGGAGAGCUGUAUGUCCGCAGGGCUGUGGCCCAGGAUCCAUCUUCAUACAGCAGAAGGGUGCUUUGGAGGGACGUGCAGGAGACCGCAGCACUGGGCAGCUGUGAGCUGGGUAUGCCAUUCCUGCUCACUGCUAUUUGUUGAAGAAAAUAUAUCCCACUUUUUCUCUAUUUAGAUCACAGAAAACCAACUCUUCAGAAAGAUUUCCUAUGAACAGAAGGAGAAGGCUCCCCCAGAGCACUGCAUGUCCCCCAGCUCAUAGAUCGAGGUCUGACCUCACUUACAGGACCACCACGGCCCCUCCGUCCUGCUGCAUCUCCAGGAGGAAAGCACAGAAUUCUUCCCAGCACACUCUUUUCGAGCCUGAGAAAGAGUACAAAGAAGGAAGAUUAACACUUAUGUGAAAACCCAGCCAAUGGCAAGAGUUACUGGGAGACUGCAGUUCAGGCUUUCUUUUUUAAGUCCGGCCCUCGAGGACGCUGCUCUUCACUUAGAAAGGAUUUUAGAGCUCUGAGCUCUGGCAAUAGUUCUCCUAACACACAAAUGCUUGACCUUGGAUGACACCGACCUGCCAAAAAAGCAUGAAAAAAAGAAAAGGUGUUGCUGAUAUUUAUUUAUUUUAUGCUCCGAUUCCUCAUUCAUCAUCAGGUAAAUUCGCUCUUGGCAGCACCGGCGACUUCCUCAAACGCAGCCAAGGUGACCACUAAAAUUAGCAUCGAAUCCCAGUGACGCUUUACAUCACGCUCACGUUAUUUUUCAUGGCGUGUUUUGCUCUUGCUGCGGCUCCGGGGGGACAGACCUUGAUGGGGGCAGUGCCCAUGUAGGGACUGAGUGGCCGACACAGGCAGCUCCCAGCAUCCCCGUGAAAUUCCUGUUCCACUGGAGAUGCUCUCGAGCCCCUUGCCAAGCUGCGUUACGAAAACGUCUGAAGAAACAGCAUCGGCUCAGACCUCAGACAGUAAAACAUAAUUUUCAUUCUCUCUCAUAAAUUUUUGCUUAAUGAAAAGUCCUUGAGGAGCUCAUUUCUCUGUCGGGGCCAAGGAAAAUAGCCGUGUGCGUGGCUGAGCAGCGCCAAUAGCCAUGAACGUGAGCAAUGCUCCGCGUGUCCCGGUGUUACCGAACAUCUGCGUCUGAACUCCUCAGAGACCCGCAGAGAGGGGAGCAGAGGGAUGCUGAGCACCUCACAUUGGCCGUCCCCAAUGGUGCUGUCCUUGGAGCACCCAACGCCCCACGGCCACGCUUUUCCCGUGGGCAGAAAGCACAGACUUCUCAGCAGACUAUCCUCUUGUUUGGUUAUGGUUCCUGGGAAAAGCCUGCAGCAAGCAGUAGGGAUAUUUGGAGAAUAUGGCCCUGGUUGGGUGGUGCUGGAUGGAUGGACACAUCCCUCUCAGCUUUUGAGCUAGAGAAGCAUGGCAAGUGAUGCUAUUCUGCAGUGUAAUUAAAUGUCAUGGGCUAGGAGUGCUCACAGCUCACUGAAGCACAGUCCUGGUAAUGGUGAGUGGUUUGUAGGGCUUUAGGACAAGGGCAGUGCCCCAGUACCCGGCACUGCAGUGCCAGGAGGAAUGGCUUGGGAUGUACCCAAUGGCUCUGUAGGCUUUGGUAUGCUCACAGCCUCACUGCCUUGUCCUGUAUUGCAUAUAAAGAGGAAACUGUUUAUGCUAAGGGAGGCGAGGAAUGGCACAGGGUGCACAGAGAGGUGGCAGUGCCCCAUCCCUGCAGACACCCACAGUCAGGCUGAACUCUGAGCACUGAUGGAGCUGUGGGUGUCUCUGCUCAGUGCAGGGAGUGGGACCAGACGGCCUUUCAGCACAGAUAUACUUAGGCUGAGAGACAGAAGAGGGUCUCUAAUCACCCCUUGCUUCCCCCCUGCUGACUCCCCUGGCUACCUCUCCCUGCCCAGGGAUGUGGUGGGGAUGGGUUAAUGGUUGCACUUGAUGAUCUUAGUGGUAUUUUCUAAUCUAAACGAUUCUAUGAUUAAUUCCCCCUUGUCCUAUCUGUGUCUGCCCAUGUAAAAAAUUGCUCUUCCUCCUGUUUAUAAGCUCCUGAAGGGCCACAGUCAGGUCUCCCUGGAGCCUUCCUUUCCUCGGCUGAACAACCCCAGCUCCCUCAGCCUUUAGAGGAGAGACUCUUAUUUUUCCACAAAAAAACCCAAAAAGCCUAAAAACCCAAACCAACCAACAGAAAAAAGAACCAC